CAGGUGGUCAGGUAGAGAAUACCAAGGCGCUUGAGAGAACUCGGGUGAAGGAACUAGGCAAAAUGGUGCCGUAACUUCGGGAGAAGGCACGCUGAUAUGUAGGUGAAGCGACUUGCUCGUGGAGCUGAAAUCAGUCGAAGAUACCAGCUGGCUGCAACUGUUUAUUAAAAACACAGCACUGUGCAAACACGAAAGUGGACGUAUACGGUGUGACGCCUGCCCGGUGCCGGAAGGUUAAUUGAUGGGGUUAGCGGUAACGCGAAGCUCUUGAUCGAAGCCCCGGUAAACGGCGGCCGUAACUAUAACGGUCCUAAGGUAGCGAAAUUCCUUGUCGGGUAAGUUCCGACCUGCACGAAUGGCGUAAUGAUGGCCAGGCUGUCUCCACCCGAGACUCAGUGAAAUUGAACUCGCUGUGAAGAUGCAGUGUACCCGCGGCAAGACGGAAAGACCCCGUGAACCUUUACUAUAGCUUGACACUGAACAUUGAGCCUUGAUGUGUAGGAUAGGUGGGAGGCUUUGAAGUGUGGACGCCAGUCUGCAUGGAGCCGACCUUGAAAUACCACCCUUUAAUGUUUGAUGUUCUAACGUUGGCCCCUAAUCGGGGUUGCGGACAGUGUCUGGUGGGUAGUUUGACUGGGGCGGUCUCCUCCUAAAGAGUAACGGAGGAGCACGAAGGUUGGCUAAUCCUGGUCGGACAUCAGGAGGUUAGUGCAAUGGCAUAAGCCAGCUUGACUGCGAGCGUGACGGCGCGAGCAGGUGCGAAAGCAGGUCAUAGUGAUCCGGUGGUUCUGAAUGGAAGGGCCAUCGCUCAACGGAUAAAAGGUACUCCGGGGAUAACAGGCUGAUACCGCCCAAGAGUUCAUAUCGACGGCGGUGUUUGGCACCUCGAUGUCGGCUCAUCACAUCCUGGGGCUGAAGUAGGUCCCAAGGGUAUGGCUGUUCGCCAUUUAAAGUGGUACGCGAGCUGGGUUUAGAACGUCGUGAGACAGUUCGGUCCCUAUCUGCCGUGGGCGCUGGAGAACUGAGGGGGGCUGCUCCUAGUACGAGAGGACCGGAGUGGACGCAUCACUGGUGUUCGGGUUGUCAUGCCAAUGGCACUGCCCGGUAGCUAAAUGCGGAAGAGAUAAGUGCUGAAAGCAUCUAAGCACGAAACUUGCCCCGAGAUGAGUUCUCCCUGACUCCUUGAGGGUCCUGAAGGAACGUUGAAGACGACGACGUUGAUAGGCCGGGUGUGUAAGCGCAGCGAUGCGUUGAGCUAACCGGUACUAAUGAACCGUGAGGCUUAACCUU
rnacentral:rRNA from 1 species